UGGGGAAUAUUGCACAAUGGGCGCAAGCCUGAUGCAGCAACGCCGCGUGAACGAUGAAGGUCUUCGGAUCGUAAAGUUCUGUUGCAGGGGAAGAUAAUGACGGUACCCUGUGAGGAAGCCCCGGCUAACUACGUGCCAGCAGCCGCGGUAAUACGUAGGGGGCUAGCGUUAUCCGGAUUUACUGGGCGUAAAGGGUGCGUAGGUGGUCUUUCAAGUCGGUGGUUAAAGGCUACGGCUCAACCGUAGUUAGCCUCCGAAACUGGAAGACUUGAGUGCAGGAGAGGAAAGUGGAAUUACCAGUGUAGCGGUGAAAUGCGUAGAGAUUAGGAGGAACACCGGUGGCGAAAGCGGCUUUUUGGCCUGCAACUGACACUGAGGCGCGAAAGCGUGGGGAGCAAACAGG
rnacentral:rRNA from 1 species